rnacentral:rRNA from 1 species
CCUACGGGUGGCUGCAGUGGGGAAUAUUGGACAAUGGGCGAAAGCCUGAUCCAGCCAUGCCGCGUGUGUGAAGAAGGCCUUCGGGUUGUAAAGCACUUUCAGUGGGGAAGAAAGCCUUGGGGCUAAUACCCUCGAGGAAGGACAUCACCCACAGAAGAAGCACCGGCUAACUCCGUGCCAGCAGCCGCGGUAAUACGGAGGGUGCGAGCGUUAAUCGGAAUUACUGGGCGUAAAGCGCGCGUAGGCGGUCUGAUAAGCCGGUUGUGAAAGCCCCGGGCUCAACCUGGGAACGGCAUCCGGAACUGGCAGGCUAGAGUGCAGGAGAGGAAGGUAGAAUUCCCGGUGUAGCGGUGCAAUGCGUAGAGAUCGGGAGGAAUACCAGUGGCGAAGGCGGCCUUCUGGACUGACACUGACGCUGAGGUGCGAAAGCGUGGGUAGCAAACAGGAUUAGAUACCCCAGUAGUC